UAUGACAACAUAAACAAGUAGAAAAAGGUGCUCUGGGAGGCAAGGAAGAUAAUGAAAAAGAGAAGAGGGAAAAAAAGAAAGAAAAGAAAUGAAGUGAAAAGAAUGGGGGAGAAAAUAAAGUAAAGACAUGACGCACUAGCUGUAAGGAAUGGACAAUCAGACGAAAACAUGGCGGAAAAGUGAUUGUACUACACGGACCAUAAAGAGGGACGGACAAUGACGAAAAAAUGAGAAGCGGCAGAUAAGGUACCACAAAGCAAAGGGGAAUUUUGUAUCACUUUUGAACAAUGAUCUGUUUGUGUGGCGGGCCUGUGCGGAGCUGGAUGCAUCUACAAACAAGCAGAGAGGCAGCCGGGCUAUGGGGAAAGCUUAUCAUUUUUUGAUAAUUGCUGGAGAAGAUAGAUUGAUCUACUCUUGGAAUCAGGUUAGAAUGCACAGCUUCCUGGUGGACGUUGAUGGAGAAUCUCAGCAGGCUGCUAGGAAAUUGGAAGGAAUCGAGGCUGUAGGUUGUUCUUGGGAUAUAUCCAAUCCAAUUGAGUGGAUGAGAAGUGACAGAGGCAUAAAAGCCCAGAGAGCCAUGCUGCAGAUUCUGAACACGUAAUUAGACCUGUCCCAGGAGGACAUGCGCAGUGGCUUUGGUCAAGCUAGGAAGGCGUCUCUCAGUUGGAGAUUAUCCUUUACCCUUGAGCGGGAUUCUUCACUGAAGGGACUCAAAGACGAGACGUGAGGGACACAGAUUUCCAUCUCGUUUGGCACCCUCCUCUGCCCCUACUUCCCUUUACUUCUGUCUGGCUUUCUGUCUAUGUUUACUGAAACAAAGCUUUUUGUCAAAUGCAUUCAUAUGCAAUAUUUAAGUUAAAUCAAAGAGCACUAAAUGCUUGAUUCAUAUGUCAUUUACAUAUUCAAUUGGUUCUGUAUCAUUGACAAAAUUGGGAUCCCUUCCAGUUCACAAUUCAAAUAUGUUUUACUUUGAAAGGAAGUGUAAAGAAAUCAAGGCUAUUAAUAAAAAAAUGAUGUGCAUUGCGAUAUUUAAAAAAAAACAAAAAAA